UGCUGUACAGAUCUGGGCUUGUGAGCACCGUGUCCUCCCUAUGUCGAGGUUACAUGGUUUCGAUGCUGACACUAGCGCGACAUCCCUCCCUUGAGUCCGAGCAUGGAAGUUCAGCUGAAAGUAUGCAUACACAACAUCGAAAAUCUCAGUGUUUUGACAACUCUUGAACGGCCUAACUUGAGAAUGGAUAAUGAAGCAACCAUGGGGCGAUGUAGUUGAUUACCCUAAUUUCAUUCAGGCUGCCAUUGUGUACCAGUAGAGGUGGCUUUUCCUUCCUGGUUUAUUCUACGACAUGUAUUACCUCGGUGAGAGGGUGUGUGAAUGGGAGCUAGGCCCAAACCGAAGGAUAGUGCCUCAUGAUGUGCCGUAAUACAUGCUUUCCACCAUAUCUAUCCGGUUAGAGCAGAUGUUGCGGCUGCUCAGAGGGGGCUGGCUACUACAGACCAUUUAGCUACUUUUGUGCCGGAUGCUUAUGCCAUCUUUGUACGGACUUAGAUCCUAGUCCAUCUCCCUUCUCUCGCUGAAUUUGAUCCAUUUGUAGAAGCGGAGGAGUUAGAUAGGGGACAUGACGAUGCCCCAGUACAACAGCAGCAGCAACAGCAUGGCAAGCGCGUGAGAGGAAGCUCUAACUCGAGGGUUGUAGAUAUAGUUGUCGUAGUCGACAAGCUUGAGCAUGGACCGGGUGCAUCCUUUUCUUUAAUCUUGGACUUCAUAGGUCAACCCGCUCAGGGCAUGCUGGAGACGCAUUUGGUUUCCAUUACUGACUAUAAUGAGGUGAGCCAACUGUACGAGGCGACACGCCUCAAGCUUACUAUGGCGAGGCUCUCCGAUGAGCACGUCUCUAGAGUUAGCAUGGUGCCUCCAGCAGGUCGAGGUCGGGGAGCUCAGCGUGGUGGUCAUGCUGGUUGAGGAGCUGGAAGCUAGCCAGUUAUUAUUGAUGAGUCAGAGGAGUUCGGUAGUGAGGACUCAGAGGAGACCGAAUCCAACAUGUCUUGAGCCUACCCCAGCUUUCUCCUUUUCAAUUUCUGUCCUUUUUGUGCUUGGACCCAGUUUGGAGAACAAUUUGUUUUGUAAAGAAUGAUUAUUCUAUUAUUGUAUAAAGGCCAAGAGCCAUUUUCUUUCCAUGUCUCUGAGUGAUAUCGAAGUAUUUGUGCUUCAUAGCCGAUAAUUAUAUUGCUUUUUAUUGAGAAGUAAAAACAAUAAAGCAACAUAUUCUACAGUUGACUGCUGUCCAGUGGUGUGCACCGCUAGAGUUAUAGUGGCAGCCAUCUGUCACUUUGUCUUCUUAUUCUUUUGCUAUAAAAGCCCAGAAAACUUGUUCACUUUACAAAAGCUUGUCUCUCUUUUCCAGAUGAAGCUCUCACUCAAAAACUUCCACAAACUUCUCAUUUAUUCCACAUUCUUAAUGGAUCAGUCCUUAGCACCUGCAUUUGAAGCAUUAUUCUACAGUCUUAACCAUGAGGAUUGGGAUUUGCCAUCACCAUUCAAACUUAAUGUGGUGAGUUACUAUCGGAAUAUCUGGGUCCAACCUGGGUUGCUGUAGUGGUUAAUCAACCACUUUGAUCCUUCGACCAACUUAUUUCGGCAUAACGAAUUCAAGAUCUAUUUAUUAUUUGAAGAACUCAGCAUCAUUUUUGGGAGAAUAUCUGUGAUUGAAGAAAUUCCUAUGAUGCCCCGGCUGGACAUAGACCCUGCUUUAUUAACAUUGCUUGUCUUUAGUUUCUCGGCUUAUGAGAUACAGUCUUAUGACUUUAGAGUUGAUGUUGUGCCCCUGCGACCGCUUGUAGAACAUGCAAUGAGUAUGGACCGCACUAGCCUAUUUUGGCCUUUUCUUGUCUGCUUGUGCCUCCUUAGUCAGUAUUUGCUGCUUAGUAGCAUUGAAAUGAAGGCUAUGGUAGCCUUAGGCUGAUGCCCAUAGUUGAGCAUAUGGCUAGGCGACGCACCCAUUUUCCACUUAUUCUGGUAGACACAUUUACUUGGCUAGGAGAGUAUGCUCGGGACUCUAGCUCUGUGCUCGGUCCAAUAUGGAGUCUGCUUCUACUGCAAGUAAAUGCAUUCUCCUUUUUUAUUUUUUAUUUUUUGCUUUAACUUUGCUUAAGCCGCCCUUGUGGGUUUUUGGCUUAACGAACUUUUCUCCUUUUUUAUCAUUACUUAUUAUCUAUUUUUGUGCUUUAACUUUUGCUUAAGGCGCCCUUGAGGCUUUUCUUCUUAACGAGCUUUUAUCUUUUAUCUUUUUUUAUAUUUCUCUUUUUUUUUUGAAUGCAUUUGCAAUUAUGGGCUUUUGAGAAGCUACAGGUGAUUGCUCCACCACCGGACCAUUUGAUGUUCAAUUAUAGACCUCGAGUCUAUAUCCGAUGUCAGCAUCGAUUGAUUGGCGACACUAUGGAAGACUGGACUGAUAUUUUUCAAGAUCUUACCUCUGAAGGAGUUAGAUGGACUUGCCCUUAGUGGCACAUAAAGCGAGCCACAGUUUCCUCUUACAUACUCUAUGAGCCCCCGUGUGGAUUGUCUAUGGCACUUGCUUAUUAUCCUCGCCGUAUAGCUAGGCAGUAUGGUCGUCAUCAGGCUAUCCCUAAUUACACACGGUUCAAGGGUGGCCUUCUUACACAGCAGUUUCUAUCUCGUUUUAUUCCCACUUGGCCUAAUCCCACGACUAUACCCAUUUUUGAUGUGGCCGAUACCUCUUCCUCAGACUUGUACCGCACUUGGCUGCAGGCUUAUUCCAAAGUCGGUGUUGAUUAAGAAUCGGCUGAUCUAUUGACAGCUAGAUUUCUGUUAGGAACUAGCAUGUAGAUGCUUUGUCCUUAUUUCUAAUGAAAUGUACUAAACAAUGUGCAAUUUAUGUAAUGUAUUCACUUAUUAUGAAUGAAAUUUCUUUCUGCUUAAAAUGCUUGAUAUAGUUCGUGCUAUUUUAUUUCAC